rnacentral:misc_RNA from 1 species
UUUGAUUUGAUUUGUGUGUGUGUCUGGUCCCUGAGAAAUGGAGGAAAGCAAAGGAAUUUAUUAUUUUUUCUUUGUGUCUUCAUUUUAAUUGUUGAAUGGAGUUGAGAACUGUACAAAAGGCAUGAAUUUCAACGCAAUUGAGAAUAUAAUCUUGUAGGGAUUAGUGGCUCCCUCUUUCUUUUUCUUUUUCCAUCUUCCCUCGUUUGGGCUCGCGUUUUGUUUCACUUAAUGAAAAUUAUUUUUCUGUUGUCAAUUUUCUCGGAAAUGUGUAUUUCUCUCUGUGUGUUUAUGUUUGUGUACAUCCG